CUUUAAGGAUUCUAUUACAUUUGUAAUAAUAACAUCAUUAUUAAUUAUACUAUGUUUAAUUAAUCCUUACCUAUUAGGAGAUCCAGAUAACUUUGUACCUGCCAACCCAUUAGUAACACCAGUUCACAUUCAACCAGAAUGAUAUUUCCUAUUUGCAUAUGCAAUUCUACGAUCUAUCCCUAAUAAGUUAGGAGGUGUUAUUGCAUUAUUUUUAUCAAUUAGAAUCUUAAUAAUUUUACCAUUUUAUAAUAAAACACCAUUCCGAGGCAUUCAAUUUUACCCUAUUAAUCAAAUUUUAUUCUGAAUUAUAGUAGUUGUUGUAUGCUUACUAACGUGAAUUGGUAAACGACCUGUUGAAGAACCUUAUAUUAUAACAGGUGAAAUCUUAACAAUUAUUUACUUCACAUAUUUCUUAAUUAAUGUCCAUGUCGCAAACGCAUGAGAUAAAUUAAUUAAGGAAUAAA